CGAACAUCCUCAUUUGCCUCUAUCUGCAUUGCUUUUGUGCGACAUCGCCAAAGACAUGCUGUGAUAAGAUCAAAUGUGGAGCAAUGUUGAAGGUGUUGGGGAAUGGAUUUGCGAAGUGCAGCUAUGUCGAGGCGUCCAAAGAAGAAUGAUCGUUGAAUCAAGUUGUGGUUGGAAGAAGGGAGGGUAUCUUGGAUUUGCUCGUAUUCAGGAUGGUUGCGUGUAAUGCGAGGUGGAUCUCUUGCCAUUAGGAGCUCCCUACGCCAUACUGGUGCAAUGGAAGGUUUGGUUGCUCCUCUAGCCAUUUCGACCCAAGCGUUCAUGAAUUGUUGGUAACCAAAACCAUCAGCCAUGGUGUGGCUAAAGCGGAGAGCCAAGAUGAAACCACCACACUUGAGUCGUGUCACCUGCAUUUAUAUUCCAUCUUCAACAAUUCAGACAAUUUCAUUGUUUAACUCUCACAUUAAUUACGAAAUUAUAAUAUAUAUAUAUAUAUAUUUAAGAUAUCAAAACUUUAUUUUAAAUUGAGUAACUUAAGAGAAAUUAGCUAAAAUGAAAAAGUAACCGGAAUAAUUUCAAUAUAUGUCAAUUUAAUUAUUUAAUUUUAGUAAACUAAACACUUGUGCACGUGAUUUUAGUGAUUUUUUAUUUUGAAAAAUAAGUGAAUAAUAGAUAUUUUGAGUUGUUUUUAUAUUUUACUUUUUUAAAAAAACAAAUUUCAAAUGGUAGAUUUUGACAGAAUUUAAUUGGGGAGUAACAAAUAAUUAUAUCAGAAUUCAGUUCUUAAAAUUAAAAAAAAAAUCUAGAAAAUGAAUAAAACAUGUCUUAGUUUGAUGAGUAUGUGUAGUGAACCUGUACGAGUAGAAGGGGAGUUUCGGUAAUUUGUUGUGAGCAAGGAACAUCGUACAUCAGUUCAUGGAAGCAUGGGAAUGGAGGCUGGAGAGAAUCACCAAACUCAGCCAGUGUGACGUCAGCAUCAGCCUCGAUGAACAUGGCUCCUUCUCCAGUGCAAUCCACCAUUAAUUUGCGUUGAGGUCCUUCCCUAAGCCUACCUGCAAAUGGGUAAUAGAAGACAAGUGUUUGCGACAGUGCUUGCCGAAUCACUUCAACUGGGUCUUUCUCUGCCAUUGAUUCCUGCUUUCCAUAAAUUUGUAUCAUUGGAAUGUGGAAACGCAGGGCUUCUUGAUCAUCAAUGUCGGAAAGUAGCUUGAGUUCAUGAGGAGUGGGGAUAGCAGGAGCCACCAGCUGAGGUUCGCACCUUCGCACUGUAAACUUUAGAGAAGAAGAAGAGAAAGAAGAUGAUAAAGAUGAGGCCAUGAGAAUUAUGAGAGAAGAGAAGAGAAGAAAAAUGAAGCAAAUGGAUUUUGGUUGAGUGACUGUGAGUUCCUCGGACUUAGGCUGCAACCCUUUAUAGAUGGAAAUCAUUCUCAUCAAAUAAAUUCGAAACACGUUUUCAUGAUGAGCAAUAAUACUUUUUAUCUAGAUAAUCAUUCAUUAUAAGAUAUAGACAUUGAAGUGAAUUAUUAUUAUUAAACUAAAGUUUAUAAAUAUAAAUUAAAGUUAAACAUAAGUUUGCAUAUAAGAUUAUUUAUGAAAGGUCAGACAUCAAUACGAAAAUGGACCCAAAGUGUCGCACAGCCACAAUAUAACCUGACCUUAUCAAGUGCUUAUCUGAAAGAAAAAAAAGUUACUAAAAAAAACAUGUAGUCUGAUCACGGUGAAGGACGUAAAAAUUGUGUAAAAUUAAAAAAAGUUACAGUAAGUUGUCAGAGGUCGUGAAUUAAAUAGUUACAGUAAGUUGUUAUGUUGUUCUAAGUUUUAGAAGGUUAGGUUGUUUAGAAGGGAGGAACUCAUCAUCCACUUCUAUUCCUUUCUUGGAAAUAGAGAAUGAGGGACAGCCGUGAACGACGAUACUCCGGUGUAUGGCGACAAUGCCAAGGUGGAUGGAGGGAGGACCAACGGGGGAAGCGGAUCGUAGAGACAAACAAAGCGUCCUCAAACGAAAGCUCGACUUUUUUCUUCUCAAAUUUUCCAAGUACCCAUGGUGAGUAUGACAUGUUGAAGAUUUUUCAGAGAUGGGCUAGGGUGAAAGAGGUAUUCAUUUCCAAACAUAGAAAUAGGUGGGGAAGAAGGUUCGGGUUUGUGAGAUUCUUUAUGGUACCGAACGUGUUCAAACUAGAGAAGGAGUUGGAUCAGAUCUUCAUUGGUGAUAUGAAACUUUAUGUUAACUUGCCAAAAUAUAGGAGAUCUGAGCAUUUUCAACAAGGGGGGGCGCCACUUGCGGAAGGCAAGGAUAAGCACCAUGCUCAUAGACCAAAAGGGCAAUUGAGGGGCAAGGAAUGGAGAGUAGUAAAAGGGAAGGGUGGUAACAGGGACCAUCUAGUGAAGCAGUCGUAUGCUGAAGUUGUUAGGAAACAGUCACAAGACCAGUGGACGGGACCAAGUAUUGACACUACUUCAAAAGUUCUCCCAUGGAUGUCAUAUAGUGCAGUAGGUUGGAUGGUACCGGAUUUAAACUAUACGGCUCUGUGUGAAGAGUUUAUCAAAGGGGGUAUGGCUAUGAUUAAGGUGAGACCUAUGGGAGAUAACCUUGUUCUCUUGACUCCUAGGGAAGGUGAAAGCAUGGAAGAUAUUAUUAAGCUGAAUAAAAGUUGGUUUACAAGUGCCUUCGAGGAAAUUGAACCGUGGUCUACGUCAGUUGUAGCGACCCAUAGGCUGGUAUGGGCGAGGUGCUAUGGACUUCCUAUUUCACUAUGGAAUAAGGAUUGUUUAUCUAAGUUGGUCGAAGGCAUCAGUCAAUUUCUUUGGAGGGGUGAAUAUCGAUCUCAUAAAUGGGGCUUUAUGCCCAGUUCGUUCCUUUCGCGAGUGCGCGGACAAAGGGGGACCUUCUAUCUGUCUGCAACAUAAUCAUAUUGGAUUACCAGGAGAAUCAAGUAGUGUGGACAGUUCAACGCCGAAAAAGAAAGAAGAAUUUGAUGAUAAAAUUAACUCAAGGGCAGAAGCAGAAUCCAAUACACCAGAGAGUGUGCGUAGACUCCGAAACCUGUGGGAGCAGGGCACGAAACAGUCCUGUGUGCGAUGGAGAUCGAAGGGAGGUUUAGGACCACUACAUUAUGGCGUCAAUUCUUCAUCUAGGUUAAGUCGCUGCUCCUUUGCUGAAUCUGAAAGUGACAUUGAACUUUGUAAUAAUAGAUUGAGAAUUGAGGAUACUGUUGAUGAGCCAGUACAGAUUUGGGAUGCGGGCAAACGGUUAGGUUUGAGGUGUUCAGGGGAGGAGGUGAAUGUUGUAGUAGAACUGGAAUGUAUGGAAGUUAGGGACAAGGAAGUCAGAAAAUGUGCAGAGGAGGGCACCAACCCCGUUGGUUUAUGAUUAUUGUUGAUCUUAAUAUUAGGGGGUGGGGGGGGGGGGGUACCAAAACAAAUUAUCUGAAACAUUGUAUUACUAAGGAGAAUGCGGAAUUUGUGUGUUUGCAGGAGACAAAAACUACGACUUUCUCAGAUAUUAGAUGUUUCUCACUUUGGGGAACAAUAAUAUUGGUUGGAUACAUUAUGAAGGCAAUAAUGGAGCUGGGAGUAUGAUCUCCAUGUGGCAGAAAGAUAAAUUUUGCUAUGAGACGCAUGUUGUGGGGACUGGAUUCAUUGCGGUAGUAGGUCAACAUAUUCAUUCUGGUCACAGGUGCUUCGUGGUUAAUGUUUAUGCAGCUUGUAAUCUUAGAGCAAAAAUAACUUUAUGGGAAGAUUUAUCGUCUUUCAGGCGGACCUAUCAGAACAUGGCUGGUUGUUAUUGUGGAGACUUUAAUGCUGUAAGAAGGGAAGAUGAAAGGAAAGGUAUUGGUAGGGGAACCAGCCAGAGGAAGGAGAUGAGUGGCUUUAAUGACUUUAUUGACACAAACUGCUUGGUGGACAUACCAACUGCAGGCAAAAAGUUUACUUGGUUCAAACCAAAUGGUACUGCUAAAAGUAGGUUGGAUAGAUUUCUUGUGUCUGAAGAGUGGAUUCAGUUUUGGCCUUUCUACAAGCAAUAUGUGCAGCAAAGAACUGUGUCCGAUCACUGUGCUAUUGUGGCGAAAUCUUGGGUUAAAGAUAGGGGUCCUAAACCCUUUCGUUCGAUCGAUGCUUGGUUUUUGGAGCCAGGAUUCAAGGCGUAUGUACAAGAGAAAUGGGGCUCAUACAAUAGCCAGGGUAACAACAUAUCUAGCUUCAAGGACAAACUAAAAUUGCUGAAGGCUGAUUUGAAAGUGUGGAAUAUGAAAGUGUUCGGGUGUUUACAGACAAAUCAAAGGCAAAUCCUGAAGGAAAUUGAGAACAUUGACGUUAAGGAUGAUAAUGAAGGUCUAGAGGAGCAUGAUCGACUAAAACGAUUGGAGUUACUGAGUCAGCUACGAUUGGUUGAUAGUAAGAUGGAUUCUCUUUCAAGGCAGAAAGCAAGAGCAAAUUGGUGUAAGUUUGGGGACAUAAACUCCAGAUUUUAUCAUACAACUAUCAGAUGGAGAAGACUGAAGAACGAAGUUAAAGGAGUGGAAGUUGGGGGGCAAUGGUGUGAAGAACCGGAAGUGGUUAGAAGGGAAGCAAAGUCUUUGUUUGAAAAAAGGUUCACAGCUACACAAGAUUCUGGAGUUAAUCUGAGAUCUGUGGAGUUUAAAUGCCUUCCCCAAGAAAUCAGCAUAAGCAUGGUUGCAAGUUUCACAGAGGAAGAAGUAAAAGAAGCAGUGUGUCAAUGUGAAGGAACAAAGAGUCCAGGCCUGGAUGGAUUCAAUUUCACGUUUAUUAGGAAUUGCUGGGAUUGCCUUAAAAGUGACAUUAUGGAAGCUUUGCACUUGUUCCAUGAAAAUGGAGUUAUACCAAAGGAUUGUAAUGCCUCUUUUAUAGCCCUGAUACCUAAAGUGCCUGAUCCCUUAUCUUUAGACCAGUUUAGGCCCAUUUCCCUGGUAGGCACUUUUUAUAAGAUCGUCUCUAAGGUCCAAGCGGGACGUAUGAAGGGUGUUCUUCCUUUGGUUAUUGAUGAAAACCAAUUAGCUUUUUUGAAGAACAGAGGUCUGCUUGAUAGUGUACUCAUGGCAAAUGAGGUGGUGGAGGAGGUUAGGAGGAACCGGAGAAGUGCACUCUGCUUUAAAGUGGACUAUGAAAAGGCAUAUGAUUCUGUAAGGUGGAACUUCUUAUACGACAUGUUACAAAGGCUAGGCUUCCAUAGCAAUUGGGUGAGGUGGGUUAGAGGGUGCUUGGAAUCGGCUUCCAUUUCGGUGCUUGUCAAUGGAAGCCCAACAGAGGAAUUUAUCCCGUCAAGAGGGCUGAGACAGGGUGAUCUUAUGGCUCCUUUUUUGUUUCUCGUGGUUGCUGAAGGUUUGGCUGGGCUUGUGAGACAAGCGACUAAGCUAAAAAUGUUAACAGGCGUGAAGGUGGGAAGGAAGGAAAUAGAGUGCAGCAUGCUCCAAUUCGCAGACGACACUUUGCUCAUGUGUGAGGAUAAUUUUUCAAAUGUGUUCACGAUAAAGACGAUCCUAAGAUGUUUUCAACUAGUCUCAGGUUUGAAAAUUAAUUUUCAUAAGUCCAAAUUGGCAGGGAUAAAUGUGGAUAGGUUCACUCUGGAAACUUAUGCCAAGUCUCUCAAUUGUUUUACAAUGCGCAUGCCUUUCAAGUACUUGGGGUUAGAAGUAGGAGGGAACCCAAGGAAGGUACAGUUCUGGGAACCGGUUGUCAAUAAGGUCAGAGCUAGGCUUAGCACUUGGAAAGGGAGGCGCUUAUCUAUGGCGGGUAGGAUUUGCCUGAUCAAAUCUGUGUUCACAUCUAUUCCCCUUUUCUACUUAUCUUUCUUUAAAGCUCCGAUCUCGAUCUGUAAUACAAUCACGAGCAUCCAAAGGAGUUUUCUGUGGGCCUGGGGUAGAGAUAAUAAAUCUAUACCUUGGGUAAGUUGGGGGAAAAUUUGUAAACCUUUUGAGGAAGGUGGUCUGCGUAUCAAGGAUAUCAGGAAAUUCAACUAUGCGUUGAUGGCGAAAUGGAAAUGGAGGCUAAUGAGUGAUGAGAAGGGGAAAUGGAAAGAUAUUUUGGAGUCCAAAUAUAUGGUCACUCUUGGUGGUGGAGAGACUUAGAAAAAAUAUGUAGGGAGGGUAAUGGUGUAGGCUGGUUUCAACAAGCUGUUAAAUGGAAUGUCAGAUCUGGGGACUUAGUUCGUUUAUGGGAGGAUCCUUGGAUUAAUGACAAUAAACUCAAGGAUUUAUUUCCUAGGUUAUACUCUAUUUCGCUGAAUCAAGGGAUGACGGUGGGUGAAACUGGUUAUUGGGAUGAUCAUGGGUGGACCUGACAUUUGAACUGGAGAAGGGAGAGAUUUUGCUGGGAGUCGGAUGUGGAGGAAUAAUUAUUAACAAUUCUAGCCAGGGAAGUUUUGGUUAAGGAUGCUAAAGAUUUUAUUACUUGGAGUGGGGAUUCCAAGGGGUUAUUCUCGGUAAAAUCAGCAUAUGGUCUCUUAACCAAUCAGGUUUCUGAACCGAGUAAUGCUGUUUUUAGUCUGUUAUGGAGGACCAAAGCUGUCCCAAAAGUGUUAACCACGGCCUGGAGAAUCUUGCUGGACAGAAUUCCGACUUAUCAUAAUCUUGUGGUACGAGGAAUAGUGGUGAAUUCACCUCUGUGUGUAUUCUGUAACUUGCAAGUUGAAUCCACACAACAUUUGUUUUUGUAUUGUGCUUUUGCUUACUGUGUAUGGAUGAUGUGCUACCAAUGGAUAGGUGUAGUGGGAACACAAAAUAGGGACAUUUGUAAUCACUUUCUGAACUUUCACUUAACUAAUAUGUCUGAAAAACAGAAUCAGGUCUGGAGGGGAGUGUGGGUGGCCAUCACACGAAGCAUAUGGGAGCAUAGGAAUAAUGUUAUCUUCAGACAAGAAGUUCCCGAUCCCGAAGAAACUCUACAAGCAGCUCAACUUAUAGUUUGGCUAUGGCUAAAACAUAAGGAAAGCUCGUUCUCAUAUUCUUUCUCUGAUUGGAUCCUUAACCCAUUUCAAUGUCUAUUGAGUGUUUGUUAAAUAGGGGAGGGAUGGUGUAUGCUAGUAUUUAUACACUAUUGUGGGGCUGGUUUGUGGCAGGUUUAGGGUAGUUGGUGGUCGCCGAAGGUAUGCAUCAUCGCCGUUUUUGAAGAAGGCCAACAUGAACGCCGGACGAUAAAGAGGCGUUCUCCAUGCCUGCGUAGUCGGUGGUCGUCGAAGUGGUGCAUCAUCGCCGUCUUUGAAGAACAGAAGUUCAUUUGAAGUGAGGGGCGAUGUGGAUGAGGACACGUGGAAGGCCAAUAUGAUCGCCAGUCGAUAAAGCGGCGCUCUCCAUUCGUGCGUAGUUGGUGGUCGUCGAAGGUAUGCAUCAUCACCGUGUUGAAGAAGGCCAACAUGAUCGCCGGUCGAUGUGGCGGCGAUCUCCGUGCGUGCAUAGUCGGUGGUCGCCGAAGCUGUGCAUCAUCGUUGUCUUAGAAGAACAGAAGUUCAGAUAUUGGAAGUGAGGGGCGAUGUGGAUGAGGACACGUGGAAGGCUAGUAUUAUCGUCGGUCGAUAAAGCGGCGCUUUCCAUGCGUGCGUAGUCGGUGGUCGCCGAAGGUAUGCAUCAUCGCCGUUUUUGAAGAAAGCCAACAUGAUCGCCGGACGAUAAAGAGGCGUUCUCCAUGCGCGCGCGUAGUCGGUGGUCGCCGAAGUGAAGCGGCGAUCUCCGUGCGUGCGUAGGCAGUGGUCGCCGAAGUUAUGUAUCAUCGCCGUACUUGAAGAACAGAAGAUCAGAUAGCCGGAAAUCGUCGUGGUAGGCACAUCGCCGGGUUUCCAGAAAGCUUAAUUGAAGCUGUUAGAGGUUUACGUAUAAAACUGAAGACCUAGGCAGGAGGUAUUUUAUGUUCACUGUCAUAGGAGGUUGAGAGAGGCAGCACUAGCCAUUGGGUGUGGAGGUUGCGGAAAGUCACUCUCCAAGUACCAUUCAACAUGGUGGGAGGACCUAAUGGUGUUAUGGUGGUGUGAAAUUGUUGUUUAGUGUUUUGAAACAGUCCAACAUUACAAUAGUAGUAGAAUGGAGCAGUUUUUAUGAUAUAUCUUUUUAUCCCUUGUUUUGGGAUACCUCGUGGAGGUCCUAAAAAACAGGGUUUGGGUUUUGUAAAGGGUUGGAAUACCCCUUUUGUAUCCCCUUAAUUUAAUUUAAUUCUUUGCUGAUAAAAAAUAAAAAAAAUAAUAAAAAUAAAAAUAAUCUUGAUCUUGAUCUUAGAAAUUAAUUUAUAUUUAAAUUAACAUUUUAAUAUAAUAUUAGUUAUGUAAUUUUCCUAUAAAAUCACUUGGUUGAUACACGAUAUUAGAGUUGAACUCAAUACCAAAUAUCAAUUAUACAUGUUUGUUUUUUAAGAUAAUGACAAAUAGUUAAAAUUUGAUAUUAAAAUUUUGAUAUGUUGAGAGUUAUUUUUUUUUUCUUAAAAAAUAUUUUUGGUGUUCGAACUCUUGUACAAACUCAAAAAAAAAUCUGGAACAUGUAAAAAGAACAAUUAAUAUUAAAGCUGCAAUGUGAAGUCCCUAUUUAUCAAGACAUGACAGGAACUUAUCAAGAUUCUAAAAGCUGGAUCCCAAACACUCUUAAGAGUUAUCGAAAGAAUGUUAUCCACGAAAGAAAAAUGAUGAAUGUAUUUCUAUAAUUUGACAAUCAUCACGCGUGCCACAUUUAAUGAAAAGUGAUUUCUGACAGACGUACACCAAUACAACUAGUAUUCCCUACCGUGGUGUUCGUACUAUGAAACCUUAAAAUUCAACCAAAAAUAUCAACACUUAAACUUUCAGUUUAAAAGUGCGAGAAAAUUUGAAAAAAGAUUAUUUUAAUAAAUUAAUCUUUUAUAAUAUAAUUUUCUUUCAUUAAUAAUUACAUUUUGUAAAUAAAUAAUUAAGACAAAUAUUAUAAUAAAAAAUAAAUAUUAAUAUUUUAUUUUAAUAAUAAAUUGAAAAUUUAUUUUAUUUAAAUUAAUUUAUUAUCAUUUUAAAAUAUAAUUUUUUAUAUAUUAAAAUAUAUAAUAAUUUAUUCUUUUAAUUUAAAUUUUAUUUACAUUUUAAAAAUUACUUUUUAUAUUAAAUUUUAUUACAAAAAUCAUUUUUAUCAAUUAAAAUUUUAACUAUAUCCAUCACAUCACUCUCGUAAACUUUCAUAAAGUUUUCUUUCAUUUUCAUAAUUUAUCUUAAUCUAAACAACCUUACUUUCUUUACAUUUUUUUUUUCAAAUCCACUAUCUCAUCCAAACAAAGAAGUUCUACAAAUAUACUAUUCAUCAAAGAUGAAAAAGUGAAAGACACACAUGUUUUGAUCUAUUUAUUUACACUAAAAUAAGAGUGAGUAAUAAUGUAAAAAGUUAUUGUUCACACGCUCACUCAUUUGUAAAGAAAGACGAAAACCCUAUCCCUAAUGUUUAGCCCAAACACUAAUCUCUAACCCUAAUCACACCUUUAACCAUAACCCUACCCGUAACACAACCCCACAACCACCAAACCUACCAAGCAUCCCUUAAUUCUAAACAAUAAUCCAUAACCAUGAUGCAUAUACGAAUACGUAAAAACCUAAACAUACUAAAAUUAAUAUAAAUAGUAUAAGUAAAUAAACAAAUGGUUCAAGUAUCAAUAAAUUACAAAAUGAUUAACUUUUAGAUAAAUAAAUAACAAUAAACAGUUUUGUAAAAGAAAUAUUCAUCCCAAAAAGACGAAUAACUCAAAAACAAUUUUAUCUUUUUUGAAAUCAUUAACAUACAAAAAUUAUUCUAUUCCCUUCAAAUUUUGUUGAUUUAUUUAUUUUAAAUUUUGUUUACGCAGAACAUCAAAAUAUUUUAGAUUUGUAUUUAUUUAAGAUUUUGAAUAAGUUAAUAAUUUUAUUUAUUUAUGAUACUAAAUAUUUACGGUUUCUCUUUUUAUUUAGGAUUUUGAACAAAUUUAGGAAUUUAAUUUGUUUAUGAUUUUUAUUUAAUUUGAACAUUAAAUAAUUUUUAAAAAUUAGAAAUUUUAUUAAUUUUAAAUUUUUAUUUAAGAACGCAAUUAAAUAAUGACAUUAAAUAUUUAUGUUUUCUGUUUAUUUAGGAUUUUCUAUUAAUUUAAAAAUUUAAAUUAUUUCAUAUUUUUAUUUAAGUAAAAUAUUAAAUAAUUUAAGUUUAUUUAUUUAGGAUUUUGAAAAUAAAUAAAAAAAUAUUUAUUUUUUUAUAUUCUUUAAGUAGGAAAUACAAUAACUUAGAAUUUUGAAAAACUUAAAUUUUUUAUUAAUUUUAGAUUUUUAUUUAAGAAUGUAAUUAAAUAAAUUAGGAUGUUGUAUCUAUUUAGUAUAUUUAGUAUUUUGAAUACUUUAGAAAUUUUAUUAAUUUUUUAUUUUUUAUUUAAGAAUGAUAUUUUUUUUUUGGAUUUAUUAUAAUUUAGAAUUUUGAGAAACUUAUAAAUUUUAUUUAUUUUAGAUUUUUAUUUAACUGGAAAUACAAUAAUUUAAGGCUUUUAAAAACAUAGAAAUUUAUUUGGUUUAGAUUUUUAUUUAUGUAUGACAUAAAAUAAGUUAGGGUUUGUAUUUAUUUAGAAUUUUGAAUAACUUAGAAUUUUUUUUUAUUUCACACUUUUAAUUAAGUAGAACCUUAAAUAAGUUAAGAUUUGUAUUUAUUUAAAAGUUUGAAUAAUUUAGAAAUUUUAUUUAUUGAAAAUUUGUAGUUAAGUAAGAUAUUAAAUAAUUUUAAUUUGAAUUUAUUUAAGAUUUUGAAUAAUUUUAGAAUUUUAAUUAUUUUAUUUUUGUAUUUACGUAUGACAUAAUUAAUAAUUUAGGGUGUCUAUUUAUUUUUAGAUUUUAAAUAAUUUUGGAAUUUAAUUUAUUUCAUAUUUUUAUUAAAGUAGAACAUUAAAUAAUUUAGGUUAUGUAUUUAUUUAGGAUUUUGAAAAUUUUAAAAGUAUUAUUUAUUUUAGAUUAUUAUUUAAGUAUAAAAUUUAGGAUUUGUAUUUAUUUAGAAAUUUGAAAAGUUAGAAAUUUUAUUAAUUUUAGAUUUUUUUUUAUAAAAAUGACAUUAAAUAAUUUAGGAUAUGGAUUUAUUUAAAAUUUUGAAUAAUUUAGGAAUUUUAUUGUUUUCAAUUUUUGUUUAAGAAUGACACUACAAAGUUUAGGAUUUUUAUUUAUUUAGAAUAAUAAAAAACUUAGAAUUUUAAUUUAUUUUAUAUUUUUUUUAUUUAAGUAGGAAAUAAAAUAAUUUCAGAUCUUGUAUUUAUUUUGGAUUUUAAAUUUUUAAAAAAAAUAAUAUUUAAGAUUUGUUUUAAAGUAUUUAAAUAAAAAAUAAAAUAAUUUAAUAUUUUGUAUUUAUUUAGAAUUUUGAAAAACUUAUAAAUUUUAGGUUAUGAUUUAUGUGUAUUUGAAUUUUGAAUAAUUUAAAAAUUUACUUUAUUUUAGAUUUUAAUUUAAGUAGGACAUUUAAUAGUUUAGAAUUUGUAUUUAGUAAGAUUUUAAAUAAUUUAAGAAUUUAUUUAAGAUAUUUUAUAUAAGUAUGACAUUAAAGAAUUUUAGGAUUUGUAUUUGUUUAGAUUUUUGAAUAAUUUAGAAAUGUUAUUGCAAAUUUUUAUUUAAAUAUGACAUUCAUUUAUUUAGGAUUUCUAUUUGUUUAGAAUUUUGAAUAAUUUAGAAAUUUUAUCUAUUGGAAGUUUUUAUUUUUAUUUAAGUAGGACAUUAAAUAAUUAUUUAUUUUUAUUUAAGAAUAAUAUUAAAUAAUUUAGGAUAUGUAUUUAUUUAUAGUUUUGAAUAAUUUAUUAAAUAGGUUCCUGUAUGUAAAGAACCUACCUUCACUAACCUUCCAUUACUGACGGAACCAAGGAUGAUAAUAAAGACUUCCCUGGUGGUGUCUGGACUGUGUUUUGAAUAAUCGGUUGGUUACCUCCCAGAGAAAAUACUAAGUAAGUUUACCUUCCUCUUUAAUUUUUCCUUCCUUAAAAGGUUGCUUUUAAACACAUGGUAGUAGUUGAAAGUAUUCAACCAUGCUUGUGACAAUUUGUUAAUGUAGCAUAAUUUCCUAAUUCUGAUGAUUAAUAUUUUUAAUCACAUGAUAAAAAUAUGAUGGUACCUAACAUUGCUUUUGUAAAUCACAUCAAUUGAUAUAUGUUCAAGAAGUCAAAGGAAUUAAUCUUUCUAUUAAUUAUGUGUAGGAUGAUAAUACGGGCAUGUUAUGUGAGCUGGCUGCAGUCCGCUAAAAAAAAAAAAAAUACGGGAUGAGUUAAUAAUUUAGCCUUUUGACUUAUUUAGAUCCGUCUCGCAUAACUUGCAGUUUACACGGGUCAACGUGACGCGGGUUGGCUGACCCGCGUAAAUAAAAAAAAUUAUUUUAGUUUUUUAAAUAAAUAAAUUAUACCUCAGUCACUUAUUAUUACAGCGUGACCUUUAUUUUAUUUUAUAAAAAUUAAAUUUAAUGUAAAAAGAGAAUAUUUUAGUUUAAUCAUUUAAGUAAGUUAAUAUUAAGAGUGACAAAACUUUAAUUAUUUUUAAUCAAACCUUAUAACAACUCUCGUACUUGAAUUUCUUUAUAUUUUAAUCUUAACCGAAUGAAUUGAAAUAUGUAUUAAAUUUUAAUUUUUCAGAAGGAAAAAUAUAGUUUUUUAUAAGUACUAAAAUUUUAAUUUUUUUUAUGCAGGCUGGCCCACAGACUACCUCUUAUGUAGGGCGGACAAGUAAAAUAAAUCUACAUUUUUUGUGCAAGGCGGACCAACUCAACCUGUGUUUUGUGGGCUAAACGUGAGAUGGAUCAUAACAGAACAUGUCAACCCACAUUGUCAUCCUUAAUAAUUAUGUGAUAUCUAUACACUUGGAAGCAUGAUAUACUCAACAAUACAUAUUUUCUACUUCUUGGGUUUAUUGGCAUGAUAAUGUUAAAUUAUUUUCUUAUUUUACAGAUAUAGAUUAGCAAUGGUCAUGUCUAUGAAUAUGAAUCGGCACCGCAGAUGCUGUUUCUAUUUGCAACCUUGUGAAGGCUCUUCAGUCCAGAUCCUCGCACAAGGGAAGCUAAGUUCCCCACGUAUAUUAAGAAUUCGCAAAGUAAAAGCUUUUAUGUUUAUAUUACUUGACAAUUGGUGCUGAUAAUUGCAUUAAUAAUAUUUGGAUUUGUUGUUAAGAUGCCUUACUCAUGAUUUCCAAAAAUAUUAAGAAAAUUGUAUAUAAGAAGAUGGUAAAAAAAAUUGAGAUAAUUUUAUUUUUUUAUGGAUUGAAAAUAUAUGCAAGUGUACGAAAAUUUUCUCUUUUCAAAUAAGUAGUAAUUAGUAAAUAUUGUUCAUGAAUCAUAAUAAACACUAACAUAAUUAACAAGUAAAGUAAACAUGAAUACAAUAUAUAAUGUGUUACCUUUUAUUGGAAAUAGCCACUACAACUUUACUUAUUUUUUUUGAAUUUUUUUUUUAGUUAUUGUUCUAACACGAUUUCAACCUCUUGGUUUAUUUUUGGUAAAAUUGUGCUAUGAAACAUGUUUUAGAUUUGAAUUUAUUUAUUUUUAUUUAAUCAACACGAUUUUUUAAAACAUUUUUACAUGUUUUUGUAGAAAUUGUUAGUUGGGAACAUGACCUAACCUUAAUUAUUUUUUGUUUGUUAAAAUAUCUACUUUCAAGCACGUUUUCAACUUUAAUUUUUCCUUUUUUCUUUUUAUUUUACAUUUCUUUUGUUUUAUACCUAAAUGAUUUUUAGUUUUCUGAAAAAAAUUAUUUAAUGGUUUUUAUUUUUUUUUUUACUUUAUUUUUGUCAAUUGUUUCUUAUUUAAUGCAUUUUUUUAUUAAGUUAAAUAUUUGUGUGACAAUCCAAAGAUAUUUUUAUUAACAUUUGUAAUUGGAGAAAGAAAACUUUGAUUUGGUUUUUUCAAUUAUUGUUAAUAUGUUACACGCAAUCAAAUUUAGGCUUAAUAACAAAUAAAAGACCAACUAUCUUAUUAACAUUUGUAAUUGGACAAAGAAAACUUUGAUUUGGUUUUUUCAAUUAUUGUUAAUAUGUUACACGCAAUCAAAUUUAGGCUUAAUAACAAAUAAAAGACCAACUAUCUUAUUAACAUUUGUAAUUGGACAAAGAACACUUUGAUUUGGUUUUUUCAAUUAUUGUUAAUACGUUACACGCAAUCAAAUUUAGGCUUAAUAACAAAUAAAAGACCAACUAUCUUAUUAGCACUACAUUCUUGAAGAAGUUGGUCGAAAGACAUAGGGUUUACUCUUAGUAUAUUGCAUAUAAUAUAUUUCAUCCAACUUCAACUAAAAUAUCAGAGUUCAAUAGUUGAUUAACAUAAUUAUUACGAAGUGGAUUUUAAGCCUAACUCAACCCCAUAAAACCGGCUUUAAUCUCUAGUCGGUGUGGGAUCUCCAACACACCCCCCUCACGUCGAGACUACCUACUCGUGCGUGAGACUAUAUAUUAUGGGUGGGUCCGAUAGCGGGUGGCCUGAUAAGCCCAACAAAUACUCUUGCUAGGAUAGACUCGUAAUGGCUCUGAUACCAUAUUACGAAGUGGAUUUUAAGCCUAACUCAACCCCAUAAAACCGGCUCUAAUCUCUAGUCGGUGUGGGAUCUCCAACAAUAAUUAUUGAUAUUCUUCGAUUUUAGUUACAAAUUACUUCACUAUCAUGUAAAGAUUACAUUAUAUAAUUUGCAAAAUUGUUAUAGGUUACAAAAGGAAUAAGAGGAUCUUAAAGAAGGAACGCAUAGAUCAUAUAUAAAUUUUCACAAUAUUGUUGCAGCUACAAGUCUAGUCAUGGGUCACUUCAAAAGUACGCUUAGCGAGCUUUUCCUACUCUAAUUAGUGUCUUGAACCUCUGGUUUGCAUGAGAUCAAUCAAAAUUAGGAAAGGCUAGAGGGGGGAGGUUGGGUAGAGACGGUUCGUUCCUAGUUAGGGGGUGUUGUUUUUGUUUCUAGGUAGCAUUACAUGUGAUUGGCAGAUGGAUGUCACUCUUUUCGUAUAAGGGUUGAGAUAUUCCUGAAAUACCUCCAUUUAUUCUAUUCUUUUUUUGUCGAUAAAAAAAAUGAAACAACUUAUAGUUCAAGAAGUGUUGAAGAUCUCACAUUGACUAAAGAUAAUAACAUUUUACCAUAUAUAAGUGGAUGUAAACCUCAUUUUUUAAAUUGGUUUUAUAAGGUUGAGUUCUCUAGUUGUUAAUAAGUUGUUUCAUGGACAAAUCAAAUACCAAUGAAGAAGUUAAAAAAAAAAUUAAUUAUAAAUUAACAAUUUAACAAAACAAAAUGGUAUUGAGAAACAGAUUUUCAACAUUACAAAUUUCUACCACCAAACACUCAUUUUAUAAGUAUUAACUAGGAACUACACAUGCUUAAAUUCCAUUAAUAUUUAUCACAAUAAACUAUAAAAAAAAAAAACCCUUUCAUAAUAAAGUAUAUAUCACACAUUAUAUCUACUUUAUUUUCUCCGAUAACAUUAUGAGAAUGACCUACAAUCCCACGAAAUACAAUUUACAAGGUAGACGUUAUAAAAUUAGCAAAAGUGCUUUGAGGUUGGUUUUGGUUGCGAAGCAUGUGAUUAAACUCCUUCGCAAACCUCUCCAUAGCUUCAGCAGGCAAGCUAAUCGGAAAUAUUAUUCCUUCUUCUCCUUUUCCAUUCUUAGCAGAACAGAAAUAAGAUGCCCCUGGAAAGCUUCCAGCCCCAGCUUCGGCCACUCCACCAUACACAGCCUCACCCCACCCAAAAUCCAUGGCUCUAAAUUUCACUUGUACCAAAUAUGACACAAUACAAGACCUCACAGUUGUGAAUAAUAAGCUUCGUUCCUUCAUCACCAUCAAGUCGGCAACAGAUUGCAAGUACUCUUCUUUCAUCUCACCUUUCACUUUAUUUAUUAACUCCACUGCAUACCCAAAUGGGUUUUGGCAAAGCUUCCCUGCACUCGUUACUGCCGCCGGAUAUGCAAAAGCAUUGCCGUAGUAACCAACUGGUAGUGGAGGAUUGAACCGACCACGUGCGUUAACUAUGCACAUCAUGCGAACAUCCUCAUUCGCCUCUAUCUGCAUUGCUUUUGUGCGACAUCGCCAAAGACAUGCUGCGAUAAGAUCAAAUGUGGAGCAAUGUUGAAGGUGUUGGGGAAUGAAUUUGCGAAGUGCAGCUAUGUCGAGGCGUCCAAAGAAGAAUGAUCGUUGAAUCAAGUUGUGGUUGGAAGAAGGGAGGAUAUCUUGGAUUUGCUCGUAUUCGCGGUGGUUGCGUGUAAUGCGAGGUGGAUCUCUUGCCAUUAGGAGCUCCCUACGCCAUACUGGUGCAAUGGAAGGUUUUGUUGCUCCUCUAGCCAUUUCGGCCCAAGCGUUCAUGAAUUGUUGACAACCAAAAGCAUCAACCAUGGUGUGGUUAAAUUGGAGGGCUAAGAUGAAACCACCACACUUGAGUCGUGUCACCUGCAUUUAUAUUUCAUUUUCAACAAAUUAGACAAUUUCAUUGUUUAACUCUCACAUUUAUUAUGAAAUUCUAAUAUAUAUUUAAGAUAUCAUAAUUGAAAUUGUGUAACUUAAGAAAAAUGAGCUAAAAUGAAAAUGUGAUAUGUCAAUUUAAUUAUUUAAUUUUAGUAAACUAAGCACUUGUGCACGUGAUUUUAGUGAUUUUUUUUUAUUUUGAAGAAUAAGUGAAUAAUAGAUAAAAUAAGAUUUUAAAAUGCAAUUCACAGUAUUAAAAUAGGAGUUAGAGAUGACCUCAACCAUAAAUUGUUGCAUAUUUAUUUAAAUUAAAACGAAUUUAAAGAUUUUAAUAAAAAGUUAUAAUCUGGUUUUUGAUAUUCUAUUAGACAGGUAACAAUAAUACUUAUUAACAAAAAAAAAACUUAUUAACAAUAUUAUUGAAUUAAAAUAAUUUUGUAAUGUUAAAGUGAUAAAACAAAAGCUGAACUGCAAAUAACUACAACAAAAAAUUAACUUAAAAUUACUAAAACCAGUGGAAAGCCGUGAAUCUUACAUCUUAUAAAUUAAAACAAAUUUGUCAUGGAUUUUAGGUAACAGAUAUCACACAUAAAAUAAAAUUAAACAAAUGAUUAAUGAAUUAUAAAAACAAGAAUCAAAAGUGUUCUUCCAAUACAUUCGACAUAUACCUGAAAUAAAUAAAAAAUAUAAAAUGAAUAAAACGUGUCUUAGUUUGAUGAGUAUGUGUAGUGAACCUGUACGAGUAGAAGGGGAGUGUUGGUAAUUUGUUGUGAGCCAGGAACAUCGUACAGCAGUUCAUCAAAGCAUGGAAAUGGAGGUUGGAGAGAAUCACCAAACUCAGCCAGUGUGACGUCAGCAUCACCCUCCAUGAACAUGACACCUUCUCCAGUGCAAUCCACCAUUAGUUUGCGCUGAGGUCCCUCCCUAAGCCUACCCGCAAAUGGGUAAUAGAAGACAAGUGUUUGUGACAAUGCUUUCCGAAUCACUUCAACUGGGUCUUUCUCUGCCAUUGAUGCCUGCUUUCUAUAAAUUUGUAUCAUUGGAAUGUGGAAACGCAGGGCUUCUUGAUCAUCAAUGUCGGAAAGUAGCUUGAGUUCAUGAGGAGUGGGGAUAGCAGGAGCCACCAGCUGGGGUUGGGACCUUCGCACUGUAAACUUUAGAGAAGAAGAAGAAGAAGAUGAUGAUAAAGAUGAGGCCAUGAGAAUUAUGAGAGAAGAGAAGAGAAAUUAAGCAAGUGGAUUUUGGUUGAGUGAAUGUGAGUUCCUAGGGCUCAGCCUGCAACCCUUUAUAGAUGGAAAUCAUUCUCAUUAAAUAAAUACGAAACACGUUUUCAUGACGAGCAAUAAUACUUUCUAAGACUUCAAAACUAAAAGAUUAUUCAUAAUUUUUUUUAUGAAAUAAACAAUUUUAAAAUUAUAUUAACCUAAUUACAAUUAUAAACUGGGAAUUUUCAAUUUUCAGAUGACAAUAUUUUUCAAACUAACAAUAAUCUGAAAUGAAAGUGUAUUACUCUUGGAUGCAUAAUAAAUCUUUCUCUUUCAUGAUAACAUAAGAUAAACAAUACCGAAUAUUCUGAAUAUUAUAACUUAAGAACAAAAUAAUUUUUAACAAUGCUAUUUUAAUUCUUAAAAUUAAAAUAAUUUUAAUAGUAAAUUUGUCUCUUAUAAUUUAAUAGAGUAUUAUUACAAAGUGGACUUUAAGCCUAACUCAAUCCCAUAAAACUGGCUCAUAAGGUUGAGGUUUGCACCCACUUAUAUAUAAUGAAAGGCUCUAAUAUCUAGUCGAUGAGGGAUCUUCAACAAGUAUAAUUAUGACAUUAUUUAAGUUUUUAGUUGCUUAAAUAUUAAAAUAAAAUUUUAUUUUUUCAUGAUUAAAUUCAAAUUAUUUCAUGUAUCUAGAUAAUCAUUCAUUAUAAGAUAUAGACAUUGAAGUGUAUUAUUAUUAUUAAACUAAAGUUUAUAAAUAUAAAAUAAAGUUAAACAUAAGUUUGCAUAUAAGAUUAUUUAUGAAAGGUCAUACAUCAAUACGAAAAUGGACCCAAAGUGUCACACAGCCACAAUAUAACCUGACCUUAUCAAGUGCUUACCAGUCAAAGAAUAUUUGGUAUCCAUGGUUUUGCAUUUUUCAUAUUUUGUGUGUGUGGAAUCACAAUGGAAGAUCUUCUUUUUUAUUUAUUUUACUUCUGCAUAUUUACGUAUUCCUAUCUCUUUAAAUUGAAUUUUCUUUAUAUCAAAUCACACAAAUAAAUUUAAUAUUAUAUACCAAUUGCACUACAAGAAAAACGCGAAUUACAUACAGAUUAUUACAUACGGAUUAAAAUCCGUAUGUAAAAUCAACAUUACAUACGGAUUAAAAUCCGUAUGUAAUUUUUGGCGCCAUGCAGGAUUUUUUCCGUAUGUAAAUAUUAGCACCAUAAAAUAAAAUUAGCAGUGAAUGGGAUUCGAAACCAGGUUCCUUCAGCAAUCCUUCAGCAACCAAGUAAAAUUUAACCACUACACCAAGCAAAUUCUUUAGUUUUAUUAUGAUUUUUAUUAUACUUAUUAUUAUUAAUAAUACUAACAAUAUUAAUAAUACAAACAAUAUUAAUAAUAUUAACAAUAUUAACAAUAUUAAUAAUAUUAACAAUACUAACAAUAUUAAUAAUACUAACAAUAUUAAUAAUACUAAAAAUAUUAAUAAUACUAACAAUAAUAAUAAUACUAACAAUAAUAAUGAUACUAACAAUAUUAACAUAUGAAUCACAUUUAAUUUAUCUAUAAUCUACUUGAAUCUAAACAUAAUUUAUUAUAUUAUCUAUUAGUAUGAAUCAAAUUUAAUAUAUGUCAUACUCAUAGUCAUCAUAUUACCUNNNNNNNNNNNNNNNNNNNNNNNNNNNNNNNNNNNNNNNNNNNNNNNNNNNNNNNNNNNNNNNNNNNNNNNNNNNNNNNNNNNNNNNNNNNNNNNNNNNNNNNNNNNNNNNNNNNNNNNNNNNNNNNNNNNNNNNNNNNNNNNNNNNNNNNNNNNNNNNNNNNNNNNNNNNNNNNNNNNNNNNNNNNNNNNNNNNNNNNNNNNNNNNNNNNNNNNNNNNNNNNNNNNNNNNNNNNNNNNNNNNNNNNNNNNNNNNNNNNNNNNNNNNNNNNNNNNNNNNNNNNNNNNNNNNNNNNNNNNNNNNNNNNNNNNNNNNNNNNNNNNNNNNNNNNNNNNNNNNNNNNNNNNNNNNNNNNNNNNNNNNNNNNNNNNNNNNNNNNNNNNNNNNNNNNNNNNNNNNNNNNNNNNNNNNNNNNNNNNNNNNNNNNNNNNNNNNNNNNNNNNNNNNNNNNNNNNNNNNNNNNNNNNNNNNNNNNNNNNNNNNNNNNNNNNNNNNNNNNNNNNNNNNNNNNNNNNNNNNNNNNNNNNNNNNNNNNNNNNNNNNNNNNNNNNNNNNNNNNNNNNNNNNNNNNNNNNNNNNNNNNNNNNNNNNNNNNNNNNNNNNNNNNNNNNNNNNNNNNNNNNNNNNNNNNNNNNNNNNNNNNNNNNNNNNNNNNNNNNNNNNNNNNNNNNNNNNNNNNNNNNNNNNNNNNNNNNNNNNNNNNNNNNNNNNNNNNNNNNNNNNNNNNNNNNNNNNNNNNNNNNNNNNNNNGAAUAUUAAUACUAAUAAUAUUAAUACUAAUAAUAAUAUCAAUAAUAAUAUUAAUAAAUAUUAAUAAUAAUAUGAAUAUUAAUACUAAUAAUAAUAAUAAUAAUAUUAAUAAUAUUAAUAAUAAUAUUAAUAAUAAUAAUAAUAAUAAUAAUAAUAUUAAUAAUAUUAAUAAUAUUAGUAAUAAUAUUAGUAAUAAUAUUAAUAAUAUUAAUAAUAAUAUUAAUAAUAUUAAUAAUAAUAUUAAUAAUAUUAAUAGUAAUAUUAAUAAUAUGAAUAAUAAUAUUAAUAAUAUGAAUAAUAAUAUUAAUAAUAUUAAUAAUAAUGUUAAUAAUAUUAAUAAUAAUAUUAAUAAUAAUGUUAAUAAUAAUAUUAAUAAUAAUAUUAAUAAAUAUUAAUAAUACGAAUAUAAUGUUAAUAAUAAUAUUAAUUAUAACAUUAAUAAAUAUUAAUAAUAUUUAUAAUAUGAAUAUAAUGUUAAUAAUAAUAUUAAUUAUAACAUUAAUAAAUAUUAAUAAUAUGAAUAAUAUUAAUAAAUAUUAAUAAUAUAAAUAUAAUUUAUUUUAUUAUUAUUAUUAAUAAUUAUAUUAAUAUGUAUAAAUUAUAUUAAUAUGUAUAAGUAUAAUAAAAAUGAUAAUAUGACCAAAGAACUUGUCUGGUCUAGUGGUCAAUGCUUCCCCUGGUCACUGGAAAGACUUGGGUUCGAAUCCUGGCUGCUGCAGUUUGCUUGUAACAUUAUUUGGGGCUUGGUUUCGAGUCCUAGCCAGUGCAAAAUGCCUCUAGGAUUAAUAAAAAAAUAUAGAUAAUGAUAAAUAAUAAUUAGUAAUAAUGAAAAAAUUAAAAAAAAAAUUUACAUUACAUACGGAUUUUAGGUCUUACAUACGGAUUUUGACUGUAUGUAAUUCCAAGUUUUCUUGUAGUGUUGCUAAAUUCAUUCAUAUCUAAUAUUAGAAACAAUGUUGAUAUUUACCCCCGAUAAAAUUAUUGUGAGUAUUAUUACCAAAUACGAUAUAAUUUUCCCCGUUAUAUUGAACCUCUCUUUGCAUUUUGUUAAAGUUGAUGUGAGAAAAAAAAAAACAUGUAGUCUGAUCACGGUGAAGAACGUAAAAAUUGUGUAAAAUUAAAAAAAGUCACAGUAAGUUGUAAAAUUAAAAAAAAAUCACAGUAAGUUGCCAGAGGCCGUGAAUUUAAAAUUUGAUAUUAAAUUUUUUAUAUGUUGAGAGUUAUUGAAAGAAUCUUAUCCACGAAAAGAAAAGAAUGAAUGUAUACCACUUAUAUUUCAAUAUUUUGACAAUCAUCACGCAAAACAGGUGCCACAUUUGACACAUUUAACGAGAAGUGAUGUGUCUCAGAAGACGAAGACUUUUCUCACAAUCAUUCAUUACUGUGUUCGUACUAUGAAACAUUAAUUGUCUGUUUGUUUUUGGACAGAAAUACUAAAACUUAAAAAUUCAACCAAAAAUAUCAACAUUUAAACUUUCGGUUUAAAAGUGCGAGAAGAAGAUGUGGCAAAAAAUAAUCAAAUAAACAAACUCGAUUCCAGAAUCCUAUGAAUUAUGGUAAUUGCGUACUAUGUUUUGCUGAUCAUACACACCAAAUUUAUUUUAAAAUAUAAAAUAAUUUGAGAUGGAUAAAUUAGAAAAAUGAAAAAUAUUAUUAUUUUUUUAUUAGGUUAAGGGUGUUCACAAAUUUUGUACAUGUAAAAGAAAAACAUUCCCAUCAAAAUUAAGAGUAAGAAAGGAUUGUUACGUACUUCAGUAAUAGUGGUGGUGGUUAGCUACUUCUUUUGUGUGUUAAUAAGAGUUAAUAGGUGAAAGAAUCUUAUCCACGAAAGAAAAAGAAUGAAUGCAUACAACAAGUAUUACUUAUAUUUCAAUAAUUUGACAAUCAUCACGCAAAGAACGUGCCACAUUUAACACAUUUAAUGAGAAGUGAUUUCUGACCAGACGUUCACCAAUACAAAAACCAUUCCUUCCCGUGGUGUUCUUACUAUGAAACAUUAAUUGUCUGUUUAUUUUUCGAUAGAAAUAGUCAAACCUUAAUGCUCUGUUUGUAUACAGUAUUUGUACCUUAAUGCUCUGUUUGUAUACGAUAUUUGUUUCUAGUCAUCUAGACAUAUGUAAAGGCAAAGAAAGAUGAAUGAAGAUAUAAGGUAUCUUCUAUAGUCGAAGAGAAAGUGAAACACAGCAUACAAAGGCUCUCAAAAAAUAAUUUUCUUAUAUUAAUAAUAAUAAAAAUAAUUAUUAAUAUUACUUUUUUAUAAAAAAAAAUAUACUUAAUAUAUAUAUAUAUAUAAUAUAAUAUAAUGUAAUUUAGAUUAAUAAAAUAAAAUAAUAUAAUUAUAUUUAAUUUUUUAAUUUUAUUUCUUUAUUUUAAUUUUACAUUAUUUUAUUUUUUAUUUAUAAUUGUAAUUUUAUAUUAUUUUAAUCAACUAAAAUAUCCACAAAAUUAAUUAUUAUUAGAAUUAGUUUUAUUUCAGAUAUUCAUUUAAGUAGGAUAUUAAGUAAAUUAGAAUUUGUAUAAGCAUUUGUAUAUGUUUUGUUUUUGGUUGACUAAUAAUCCAUCUUUCCUUAUAGGCUUUGGGAUAUUGGUGAGCAGAGAUGUGUGCAUUCUUAUGUUGUUCAUACAGAUUCAGUAACAUUUAGUCAUGUUUAUAGUUUCAGUGAGUGUCCUUUUGUUGUGAAAAUUAAUAAUUUUAAUAGGUUCCUGUAUGUAAAGAACCUACCUUCACUAACCUGGGUACACCUGGAAUAGUACAACAUGAAGUUUUGAAUAAUAAGAGGCAUGUGUUGACGAAGGUAACAGUGGUGUUUUCUGGUCAUUUUUUGUGCCAUGCAUAUUGAUAGUUCGUUGGUGUCAUCCAUUUUUGUGUGAAAUUAAUAUCCUUUGUCGUUACUGGGAAUCCUAACAUGCAUGGGAAUCCUAUUUGCUGUAAUGAGUUGUAUUUUCACUAUUGUCUGAAUGUUCAUUAUUGGUACCACGAGUAACUUUAAUUUUUGCUAAAAUUGUGCUAUGAAACAUGUUUUAGAUUUUAAUUGAUUUUUUUAUUUAAUCAAGCACGAUUUGUUUUUUUUUUAAACUUUUUUAUUUGUUUUUGUUGAAAUCUAAUUGGGAAGAUGACCUAACCUUGGUUUUUUUGUUUGUUUGUUAAAAUCUACUUUCAAGCACGUUUUCAACUUUAAUUUUUUCUUUUUAUUUGUCAUUUCUUUUUGUUUUAUACCUAAAUGAUAUUUAGUUUUUUGAAAAGUUUUUAUUUAAUUUUUUUACUUUAGUUUUGCAAAUUGUUUCUUAUUUAAUGUAUUUGUUUUUAUUAACUUAAAUAUUUGUUUGACAAUCCAAACAUAUUUCCAUUAACAUUCGUAAUUGGACAAAGGAAGCUUUGAUUUGCUUCUUCUAAUUAUUGUUAAUAUUAUUACACCUCAAUAAAUUUUAGGCUUGAUAUUAAAUAAAAGACCAACUAUUUUGUUAGCACUAUAAUAUGAAGUUGUUGGAAGACAUAGGGUUAGUAUAGUGCAUAUACAAUAUAUUACUUUCAACUUCAACUAAAUAUUCAAAGUUAAAGACAUGUUUUAGCCCAAUGGCACAUGCUGGUAUGCAAGCUGCUUUGACAUGUAGGCUCUGGCACAUACUGGUUCAGGAAUUUUUUUUUAGCAUGUUUUGGUGAUGUGGGUUUGCUGAGAAAGCGUGCUCGGGAACCUAUUUUUUUGGAGUUAGGCUAUGUUAUUGUCAUAUUCUAGUCUCCUUUAGAAGCAUAGGAUUGGUUAGUUGGUUCUUUGGCUCACUAUUUUCACCUUAUUUUGACUUGAAACUUUGAUACAUGCUCUUGAGAUUAGUUUUUUUUUUUAUGUAUAAGGUUGUCUCACAUUUUUCUGAAGAGUCACUUCAAAUUUACAAAAUUCUUUGUUGACAAAAAAAAAUAUAUAAGUAAUGUAAAUCACAUUUUAUAAAUUAAUUUUAUAAAGUUGAGUUAUCAAUUUCUUAAUAAGUUGUUUCAUGGACAAAUCAAAUAACAGUGAAAAAGUUUAAAUAAAAAAGAUAAUUAUAAAUUAACAAUUUAACAAAACAAAAUGUUAUUUAGAAACAAAUUUCUACCACAAAACACUCAUUCUUAUAAAAGUUUAAAAAUUACAUAAAUUUCAUACAAAAUAUCUCCAUUUUGUUAAAUUAGACCAUGUUACCCACUAGUAAUGCCUAAGAACUACACCUGCUAAAAUUUCAUUGAUAUUUAUCACAACAAACCAGUACAUUUCUUCAUAAUACAAAAUAUAUCUCACAUUAUAUCUACUUCUUUUCUUCGGUCACAUUAUGAGAAUGACCUAUAAUCCCAUGAAAUACAGUUUACAAGGUAGACCUUAUAAAAUUAGAAGUGCUUUGAGGUUGGUUUUGGUUGCGAAGCAUGUCAUUAAACUCUUUGGUAAACCUUUCCAUAGCUUCAGCAGGCAAGAAAAUCGAAAAUGUCAUUCCUUCUUCUCCUUUUCCAUUCUUAGCAGAACAGAAAUAAGAUACCGCUGGAAAGCCCCCAGCCCCAGCAUGGGCCACUCCACCAUAGAUAGCUUCACCCCAACCAAAAUCGAUUACUCUAAAAUUCGUACGUGCCAAAUAUGAUACAAUAUAAGACCUCACAGUUGUGAAUAAUAAGCUUCGUUCCUUCAUCACCAUCAAGUCGGCAACAGAUUGCAAGUACUCUUCUUUCAUCUCACCUUUCACUUUAUUUAUUAACUCCACCGCAUACCCAAAUGGGUUUUGGCAAAGCUUCCCUGCACUCGUUACUGCCGCCGGAUAUGCAAAAGCAUUGCCGUAGUAACCAACUGGUAGUGAAGGAUUGAACCGACCACGUGCGUUAACUAUGCACAUCAUGCGAACAUCCUCAUUUGCCUCUAUCUGCAUUGCUUUAGUGCGACAUCGCCACAAACAUGCUGUGAUAAGAUCAAAUGUAGAGCAAUGUUGAAGGUGUUGGGGAAUGGAUUUGCGAAGUGCAGCUAUAUCGAGGCGUCCAAAGAAGAAUGAUCGUUGAAUCAAGUUGUGGUUGGAAGAAGGGAGGGUAUCUUGGAUUUGCUCGUAUUCGCGAUGGUUGCAUGUAAUGCGAGGUGGAUCUCUUGCCAUUAGGAGCUCCCUACGCCAUACUGGUGCAAUGGAAG
rnacentral:lncRNA from 1 species